rnacentral:rRNA from 1 species
AUACGUAGGGAGCGAGCGUUGUCCGGAAUUACUGGGUGUAAAGGGAGCGUAGGCGGGAGUGCAAGUCAGAUGUGAAAUACAUGGGCUCAACCCAUGGGCUGCAUUUGAAACUGCAUUUCUUGAGUGAAGUAGAGGGAAGCGGAAUUCCUGGUGUAGCGGUGAAAUGCGUAGAUAUCAGGAGGAACACCGGUGGCGAAGGCGGCUUACUGGGCUUUUACUGACGCUGAGGCUCGAAAGCGUGGGGAGCAAACAGGAUUAGAUACCCUGGUAGUCCACGCUGUAAACGAUGAUUACUAGGUGUGGGGGGACUGACCCCUUCCGUGCCGCAGUUAACACAAUAAGUAAUCCACCUGGGGAGUACGGCCGCAAGGUUGA